rnacentral:rRNA from 1 species
AGAGUUUGAUCAUGGCUCAGAGACGAACGCUGGCGGCAUGCCUAACACAUGCAAGUCGUACGCCCUAUUUUAGAGGGAGUGGCGCACGGGUGCGUAACGCGUGGGAACCUGCCUUCAGGUUCGGAAUAACUCAGAGCAAUUUGAGCUAAUACCGGAUAAUGUCUUCGGACCAAAGAUUUAUCGCCUUUGGAUGGGCCCGCGUAGGAUUAGAUAGUUGGGGGGGUAACGGCUUACCAAGUCGACGAUCCUUAGNUGGUCUGAGAGGAUGAUCAGCCACACUGGGACUGAGACACGGCCCAGACUCCUACGGGAGGCAGCAGUGGGGAAUAUUGGACAAUGGGCGUAAGCCUGAUCCAGCAAUGCCGCGUGAGUGAUGAAGGCCUUAGGGUUGUUAAGCUCUUUUACCAGGGAUGAUAAUGACAGUACCUGGAGAAUAAGUUCCGGCUAAUUC